rnacentral:rRNA from 1 species
UACAGAGGUCUCAAGCGUUGUUCGGAUUCAUUGGGCGUAAAGGGUGCGUAGGCGGCCUAUUAAGUCAGGGGUGAAAGACGGUGGCUCAACCAUCGCAGUGCCUUUGAUACUGAUAGGCUUGAAUACACUAGAGGUAGGCGGAAUGUGACAAGUAGCGGUGAAAUGCAUAGAUAUGUCACAGAACACCGAUUGCGAAGGCAGCUUACUAUGGUGUCAUUGACGCUGAGGCACGAAAAGCGUGGGGGAUCAAACAGG